CCUCCGGGGGGCAGCAGUGGGGAAUAUUGCGCAAUGGGCGAAAGCCUGACGCAGCGACGCCGCGUGAGGGAUGCCGGUCUUCGGCUCGUCCCCCUCUGUCCUCCUUUCCGCCCGUUCCCUGUGCUCCUCCGCCGUGCCUUGACGGUACCUGCACAGGCCGCCCCGGCUCCCUCCGUGCCCGCCGCCGCGGUCCUCCGGCGGGUGCGCGCGUUCCUCGGCCUUCCUGGCCGUCC
rnacentral:rRNA from 1 species